rnacentral:lncRNA from 1 species
UAACUAAAUAAGGGAAUGGCUUAAGAAAAUUAUAGUUUAGAUUAUCAUCAUCGAUCCUUUCCAAUUUACCAAACAAAUUUUCACCGACCUUCUUCUUCUCAAAACUUGACUGGCUUAUAUUGCGGGAUUUCGUAUUCCUUUCACACGGUGGAUUAUCCCUAUUAAUCGAUCUCAUUCGGUGUGCGCAGACGAAAACGUCGCUGCCGACCACCAGUCUGAACCGACCAAACCUGCUUGUUACGCCUGCGGUUCGUGUGUUGAACGGUACAAAAGACCGCUGAGCACCACUACCACGUUGAUCGGUCGUUCGUUCGUUGUACACUCGGAAGCGCAAUAUCCCCUCUACAUAAUGGUGCAUUGGAACUGCAGCUAAUGUACAAAGUGUUAGUGUUUAUUGUUAGUGGCUCACAUGGGUAUUUCUAAUAUACCUUUAUGUGUAUUGCUUCUAUCAUUUAUGUGUUAG